GAUGAAGAACGUAGCGAAAUGCGAUAAGUAAUGCGAAUUGCAGAAUUUCCGUGAGUCAUCGAAUCUUUGAACGCACAUUGCGCCUUCUGGUAUUCCGGAAGGCAUGCCUGUUCGAGAGUCAUUAACAACCGUUUCGAUCCCUUUCUUUCAGAAAUUACAAAGAGGAAAAGGGUUUGGUUAUGGUGGAGGAGGGAAAGGGAGCGUUUAGCCUGUAAAAAAAGAGGCUGUGUUCCGCCUCCCCCCCAAAAUUGUACAGGCGGUCGUGUGCGCCCACGCAUCGAGGUGUUGUAAAAGCUGCCACGGCACUUUUCACCUGUGCAGUGCGAGAUUGGCCAGCCGGUUUAAAAACCCCUCCAAACAAUCAAAGGUUGACCUCGGAUCAGGUAGGGAUACCCGCUGAACUUAAGCAUAUCAAUAAGCGGAGGA
rnacentral:misc_RNA from 1 species